rnacentral:piRNA from 3 species
UAAAGAACGGAGCCCCAAAAGGAAC